CGGAACCAAUUAAAAACAAAAUUUUGCCGAAUAAACAACAAAAAACGUCUUCCUGCCGCCUGCGGUCCGAUUUACAAAACAUUAAAACAAAAGCCGAAUCCACCAUAAAACUGGGGCGCUAAAUUUUUGCGCGCCUCGCUGUCGGUAACAAGCGUGAUAAAAGCCGAGAAGAUGGGUCGUCGAGAGUAGCUUUUCGGUCGAAUUAUGGACGCGGAUGUGAGCGCGCCCCACGACAAAUAGAGGAAGAUAGAUGAGCCGUACCUUGCGCGAGACAGAGAGCGGUAUACGUAGAAUGCCAGGAGCACUUUGGUUGUUGAUUUGAAUAUCGCAUUAUCUCCUAUAGUACGGGCGCUUGUGUUAAACGUUUAAACGUGGGUUGAUAAAAAAUAUAUCUGAUAUAAUUAAUAAUUACUGCACACGAGUUUUAAAUUUAAAAUAAGUAAUUUUUAAUGAAAUUACUGGAGGAGCGCGCGCCCUUGCGCGCGCCUUGCUAAUAGGGGUGCAAAGGCGCCGAUGAAUCUGGGAAUAAUUUCUACCUUCUGAAAUUGAAUGAAUUAGGUAAUCAUCAGUGCAAUUUAAAAUGUUCUUCAUGUAUGUCAUGUGUUCAUUCUUACACCUGUAACUGUAUGGAUUACGUAAUACACAACAACAUGUGCAAACAUAUACAUAAAUUGUGCAUGAGCGAAACUUGUAAUAAUAGCCCAAUGGAGAUAACUCAUCAUGAUAAUACAACAAACAAUAAUGAUGAACUGCAAAGCCCCCUUCUUAGUUUAAAACAAUGUAAUAGUUCUGAAACCAUUAAGAAAAUAAGGGAAGAUAUCAGUUUUAUGUCUGCUUUUGACUGGCCAUCAGUUGAUGAUGCUGCGUUAAGAAAAAUUAGUGGCCUCCUAACAUCAGUUAAGCAUAAUAUGAUAAGUAGUCAAGAAUCAUCAGCUCUAAUAACAGAAUCUAGUAAACACAAAGUUUGUCCUGCGAACAAGAAAAUCACUACACAACCUCGGUUCUUCUCUACAAAACGAAAGAAAAAGCCGAUGGCUCCCAAACUGGCAAAGCCUUCACAAGAAGAAAUUACAGAAAUAUGCUCAAGAUUCAGGGAGUUGCAAGAGAAUAAAUAAUUUACUACACACACACUUUAUGUAACUUUUUGAUUAAAUGAAAUCUGACAAAAUUG